AUGGAAAGAAAGCGUCCAGGGAUGACCUCAGGGGCACGGAUGCCCCAUCAAGGCGCUCCCAUGGGGCCUCCUGGACCUCCAUAUGGUGGAACACCACCAAUUACCAGGGAUGCCUACCUCAGCACUAGACCCCAACCGAAAACGUCCUGCCCCAACCCAGCCAGUGCAACCUCCCCCCGUCCAGAACCGUCCCAGAAAGAAACCACUUGGAUUUCCAGCAACAAAUGAGAUAUCUGCAAGACAGAUGGACAUGAGAGACGCCCAAUCAGAUCCUUCAAUUGGAUGCUUCAAGUAGGCUGUUUAUUCUGCUGCAUGUUAGUUUGACAUUUUGUGAUGUCCCUGCCUGAUUGGUUUGUUCCUGUUUGCAGCUUCAAACUUGACUAAAGCAUAUUUCCCCAAAUGCAUGUCUGCACUUAAGGUAACAGAUUAAAGUAAAGUAAAAACAAAUAAAAAAUUACAUUUAUUAAAUGAACACAAUAGUCAACAUGACCUGAGAAUGAAUGUCCUGUUUCAGUGCAUGUGAAGUAGAACAUGCGGUUGCAGUCAGUUAGCUGUAUGUGUGGGCUGCAUGACCCUUCUCUCAUGCCGUUUGUGUUAAUUCAGAAUGUUUUCUGUCUUAUAGUUGACCUACGUUCAGUAAAUGCUCAUUUAAUUCACCUGAAUGCAUUAAUUAUUAAUUUUAGAUGAAGAAUACGUGACGAGUGUUGAGGCAUUCACUCUCACACCCCCAACCAUCUCAGUCUCUGUUUCUCAGCUUCUCCCGGAGGAGCAGUGUGGCUUAGGGUGGACGAGUCGGACCAUGAGAAAGUUUAUACUCCAGAGGGGGUGUGGAUGUGAAUGGGGACAGACAUUUCCUGCUCCAACAUGGUCAUGUGCUCCUCAGCUCUGGACCUGAGGAGCUCUCGGUGUUCAUAGGAGUGUGGCAUGUUUGUCUGUGGAAAAACUUUAUAUGCGUCAUGUUUGGGGAUAGAAGAGAAAUGAGGAACGUCUUUCUGAAAACAGCAGUUGGAUGCAGCUCAAUUUUUGUGGUCUAAAUUGAUGCUGGGAAUAACAUUAUAGAAGUCUUUAUUUUCACACAUUUAGACCACAAAGAUCUGUUUUUCAAAAAUGUUAUGGACUGCACAAACAGAAGAUGUUCUUGUUGAACAGCACUGUUUUUUAAUUGAUUUUCUACACUGUAAAAAAAAAAAUGGCAGCUGUGGUUGCCAGAUAUUCACCGUAAAAAAUAUGGUGACAAUGAUUCCAGUGUUACAGGCCGGCAUAUUGUUACCUGUAUAUUUUACAACUUAAAACCGUAUGUUUCAUUAAGUGAUAUAAUGUUAAAAAAAUAGCUAUUUUAAAAUCUUAUUUUUACCCUAAAAUGUACUGAUAACCACCAUGAUAAAUGUAUUAAAACAAGAAUCAGAAAGCGAGAAUCAGGAUCUAAAACAGUCAUUGACGCAGUAAAGUAGUCCGAAUGCCUGGUGAAAUCUUGUAAUGGUUUCAUAUUCAGUUAUUUUGCAAGGACUAAUUUACUUGGUUUGGUUGUACUAUGGGCCUAGACUAUUGGUAAAUGUCUAGGUGAUAUAAUGUUUAAAAACAUAGCUAUUUUACCUAUCAAAAUCUGUUUUUACCCUCAAAUAUACUGAUAACCAUCAUAAUAAAAGUGUUUAAACAGAGAGCCACAAGGCCAAAACAGUGUACAGUGCCAAAAAAUCAACAACAAAGAAAAAACAUCUUCAGGGUAGCACACAUGACAAUAAAAUAAUGCCAUAAACAUUAACUAAAUAACAUAAAAUAACACAAAUCACCCUAAUAUACAUUAUGGACAAUAAAAGAAGAAGAAACAAAAUUCAAUAUAAUGUGAUGUGUCACGCAGGAACCUCUGGGAAUAUCCUCUUACUUUUUUUCACUGUAUAUUAUGCAUUAAUUUAUAGUUUUAACUUCCAAAAAAGCAAAAAAAUUGACAGUCUUUUACAGUAAAAGUAAGUAAAACUACAUUAAGCAAAUUUUCACUGUAUACGGUUAAUUAACGUAAUUAACGUCACUUGUUUUUAUUGUAGCAUUUUUACUGUCCCCUUUUAUAAAAAUGACAAACAAUUUUACAGUAUGUUAACUAUGGCUUGCAGUUUGAUUGCCCUGUACAAUAACUGAGACAGCCGGAUGUUAAAGCAACAAGGCAACUCUCCUAGACAUACAGCCACAAAAUGUGCAAAAAUGAAUAUUUACGCUUUCAUAAUCAUGAUUAAGUGUUAUUUUCAACCUCUUUUUGUCCUUUUCUCACUCUUAUACUCUCUCUCUGAUUACACACACAUACACACAAACACACACACAGCUGGAAAAACAUCUGGAUGGGUCCCAGUUAUUCAGCAGAUGGCCUGUGGACUCUG
rnacentral:lncRNA from 1 species